rnacentral:rRNA from 1 species
GUCCACGCCCUAAACGAUGUCUACUAGUUGUCGGGUCUUAAUUGACUUGGUAACGCAGCUAACGCGUGAAGUAGACCGCCUGGGGAGUACGGUCGCAAGAUUAAAACUCAAAGGAAUUGACGGGGACCCGCACAAGCGGUGGAUGAUGUGGAUUAAUUCGAUGCAACGCGAAAACCUUACCUACCCUUGACAUGGAUGGAAUCCUUGAGAGAUUGAGGAGUGCCCGAAAGGGAGCCAUUACACAGGUGCUGCAUGGCUGUCGU